GACGAGUCGUCCGUGGUGGGAUAGCCCGGCGAAAGCCGGAUUAAUACCGCAUAUGCUCUACGGAGGAAAGUGGGGGACUCGCAAGGGCCUCACGCUAUGGGAGCGGCCGAUGUCCGAUUAGCUUGUUGGCGGGGUAAUGGCCCACCAAGGCGACGAUCGGUAGCUGGUCUGAGAGGAUGAUCAGCCACACUGGGACUGAGACACGGCCCAG
rnacentral:rRNA from 1 species